AUUGAACGCUGGCGGUAGGCCUAACACAUGCAAGUCGAACGGCAACAGAGAGAAGCCUUGCUCUUUGCGGUGGCGAGGCGGAGGGGUGUGUAGUGUCCGGCAAACUGUCCGAUUUCGGGGGAUAUCUAGUGGGAAAGGUUGCGAUAAUCGCGUAAACUACCUACAGGAAAAAGCAGGACCUCUUCGCCCCUUGCGCUCGGAAAUGCGCCGAUGUCGGAUUAGCUAGUGGGUGGGGUAAAGGCCCACCAAGGCGACGAUCCGUAGCUGGUCUGAGAGGAUGACCAGCCACACUGGAACUGAGACACGGUCCAGACUCCUACGGGAGGCAGCAGUGGGGAAUAUUGGACAAUGGGCGCAAGUCUGAUGCAGCCAUACCGCGUGGGUGAAGAAGGCCUUCGGGUUGUAAAGUACUUUUGGCGGGGAAGAAAAGAAGCAGGUUAAUACCUUGCUGUUUUGACGUUACCCAAAGAAGAAGCACCGGCUAACUUCGUG
rnacentral:rRNA from 1 species